rnacentral:lncRNA from 1 species
AGUCACAGAACUGACUCCCCGGAGGGCUCGCUGCCUUGCUUUUCUCUGGUCCUUGUUCAUCGCAUACCUCCAGGCAACUUCAGCCUCACCUUUGCCCUAAGGUGCUGACGAGGACUUUCACCUGGGAGAAGAGCUCAUUCUUCCUAUCGUUUCCCUGGGAAGAACAUGGCUGAAACAACUUACUGUACAGACCACAGAAGUGAGACCAAAAACACUGAGAUGAGGAAGAGGUGUGGCAAAAUGGCUUUGUUGUGGUGGAAGAUGAAUUGUCGUCUCAAGGGGGCAGAGGACUGCCUGUGAGCUUCCUUAACAUGGAGCCCGAAACCGGUGUUUGCACAGUCCUUGAGGAAAGGGUUUGCUCAGCAAAUUAACAGUGUGAACAAGACUGCAGGAGGGACCAUUUACCUACCUGAGAACAAACUGUUUUCUAGCUCUUCAGCAGCACCACUUACGCACAAUUUUCAUGUGCUAAUGGCAAGUGAUUAUUACCUAGUUAGUGAAUAUACGUGGAAGACAUAAAAUAGCCUUUACUAUCCCCUGGUUGAGACAACUCGCUAACUCAGACUUGCCAGGUGCUCUGAAUUAGAGAGGUGCUACAGGAAUGUCCUCUCGGAUUUUUGGCGUUGAGCAUGCAUGCAUGUGAGCAGGGUGCCAUUUCUUCAGAAGAAAAAUAAAUGACAACAUUCUGUUUUGGGGCUUGAAACUGCAUGACUGAAAACAUAAAGGUGACAACUGUGAUAUGCUUUUUUAAUGAGGGCAGAGAUGUCAAGAGAAACCAGCCUUCUAGGAACAAAAGAAUACUCUGUCAGGUGCAGUGGACUUAAGACCUUUUUCUCUCUUGGAAUAAUGUCCUUAAAAAUAACCAAAUUUUCCAUUCAAUAGAAAAAUGUUCAUCCCUUCCUCCCCAUCAAUAUGAAUUGUUGUCUUGGAGCAUGGGGCACUAGCAAGCCAUAUUGAUUUUGGAAAUUAAAAUGGGAAUGUUGAAGAGCGUUUUCAAAGAAUUAUAUGGGAUUUUAGCCAUCUGAAUGGCUUUCUUUUUAGGGUCAGUGAGAGUAUUCUGGCUAAAAUGUAGCCCAUUGCUUUAGAAAUAGUUUCCUUAAUGUCUUUCCUGUCGCCCCUGCUGGGUCUGUGCAGGAAAUGUAAACCAACAUACAAUAUGUGUGUUUAUUUUCAUGUCCCAUUUUAUGGGAAAUUGGAUGGGGUAUUCCACUGAGGCUUCAGCUAUGAUGUGUUGACAAUAUAGGGGGAGCAGGGAAGACUAUUGCUGAAAGAGUUUACAAGGGAAGAAGGGGGUUCUAUAACCUUUGAGAACUAUGGGGAAGAGCCAGGCCUGCCAGCGAGAGCUCCGUUACUCAGGGGCCAGAGGGAGGCAUUCAAUAAUGAAACCGGCUGGUGAGUUGCUCAUCCAUUAAAUGACAUCCUCACCAGCCAGCCCCAGUUUCCAGCACAGUUGGGAUGUUGUGCCACACCUCAUCUUGUGAGAUGUUAUGUCUGAUACUGUGUGGUCUUCCUGCCUCUGCUGGCCAUAGGAAACUCAGGCUACCAAACACCCAAUCCAGAGUCCAUAAGGGGUCACUAACUGGGUGGGGGGCAGAGUUACCCGGAGGACCCCUGCAGGAAUGCAGAGGUUAGAGAUUGUCAAACCAGUCAUAUCCUGGCCUUGUGCAGGUGGUGGCAAAACUGAACCUUUUCCUGGGAUCCUACUGGAAAAGCAAUUUAAAAAGUGCCUGGGUAGCACGGGGCCUGCUCAGGGAGUGUGGGUCCGUGUAUUUCCUGUAAAAUGUUUGAAAUCUCAGCGUUAGGCCCAUCUGUAAGACAGCAGUAGGUGUCAGUGGGAAUACAUGUUUUUCCUGCAGAAGAAAAAAGUUAGCAUGUUUGCAUUUUAAGCUCAUAAACAGCUGCAGCCUGGACCGCCAUGGCAAGCACGUUGGGGCUGGAGGAGCUGAGAGCUGCUGUUUGCCGGUGCACAGCAGCAGUUUCCAGUUGUAGACUGAAAUAUUGUAUAUAUCUCCAAUUUCAAUAGGACUUUGUUUUGUGUUUCUAAACAAGGAAAUUGAGGAGUGUCAAAUUAAUUUUUUAGUCCUGGUCAUUUUUUAAUUCCAGUUGGCCAGCUCGGCCUGGAUUUGUACAAAUACCGAUUCCAGAAAAUAGUUGAAGUACUAAACUUAGUAAAUAAAUGUGUUUAUCUUUCAAAUAGAUUCAAGAUGAAAUACCCAGCACUUCUCCAGGGCAUUUCUGUCCCUGCCUAUUCAUUUUAGCAGCUUGACCAAACUAAUUCCCUUCCCUUAGUGUAAUAUUUAAAUGGACUUCUGGCAUCUGAUACAUUGCCUGCUGCUCCAAUUCCCUAAGAAAGUCAUUUAAAUAGAUUUUGACUAUCUUGCAUCUACUAUAAAGCCAGUCAACUAAAAAUCCUGGUCACUUCUCUCUAAUUUUAGAUGAGCCAUGUGGAAUUAUUGGCUUUUGAGAAAAUUCAUCUUAUCAGAGCUGAAAGUUUUGGAUUUAAUUUUUAACUAUCUUUUUUUUUUUCUUUCCCAGCAAGAAAAAUGAAUGAAAAGACAAAUAAGAAAGUGUUGCCAUACAAAGUUAGCGAGCUGUCAGAUAGAUAUAACUACUAAAUGAAAGUCCACAUUAAACUUUUGGGGCAAGAUUCUCACUCCGCCUUCCCUCAACUCCAAGCCUUUGCUCCACUCCACUCAUGCCCAAUCUGAGAAAGGAAAAGAAGCAAGUUUGACACGUAUCCUGCCUUCCAGGAAUUUGCGAUCCAGUUGAAGAGACAAGCUCUACCCAUUCAGAGGGUGGCUUGUGUGAUUUGGGUUUUCUGCUAGGCACAGGAUGAGGGGUGCAGAGGGGAGUGGGGGAAAUAGAUCCUUAUGUAUUGGCUGGGGACCAGGACUUGGGGGUAUUAUAAUAAGUUGGCCUGAAGGAAUAGCGAGAGGUGGGUAUGUGAAAAGCAAGCUGAUAACAGCAUAGAGAUGGCAAAUAUAAGGGGAAAGUGGCCACAAAAGUGAGCAAUGGAAUGCCAGGUGCAGUGGCUCACGCCUGUAAUCCCAGUACUUUGGGAGGCUGAGGCGGGUGGAUCACAAGGUCAAGAGAUUGAGAUCAUCCUGGCCAACAUGGUGAAAUCCCGUCUCUACUAAAAAAAUACAAAAAUUAGCUGAGCGUGGUGGCACGCACCUGUAGUCCCAGCUACUUGGGAGGCUGAGGCAGGAGAAUCACUUGAUCCUGGGAGGUGAGAGUUGCAGUGAGCCGAGAUUACGCCACUGCACUCCAGCCUGGUGACAGAGUAAGACUCCAUCUCAAAAAGGAAAAAAAAAAAAAAAGUAAGCAAUGGAGAGCAAAAGGUGGAGGUGGUGGACAGGGACUCGGCCAGUCUGACUGCAUCCCCAGAAAGAGAGAGGACCUGGUGGAGAGUGUGGGGCUAUGGUGGGGAGGCCUGGAGUGUCGGGCCAAGGACUUUAGAUUUUUUGUUGUAGCCAGUGGGACGGGAUUGUCAUGAGAUGUGGUGGAGGACACAGAAACCUGAGGCAGAGAGGCUCCUGUUCUCCACACUCUGGGGCCUUGGGUGGUGCUUAUGUUAAAUCAUGACAUGAGUCACCAGAAGGAGAGCCACCCAGAUGCGGGAGGGCAGAGAAUCUCUCUGAGUUGGGAGUAGGGAGAGAAUGCUGCAGACUGGAGUUGUCUGGGAAGGUGUCUUGGAAGACGAGGAUUUUGCCAGGUGAAAGGGAGUAGUAGGAAAGUUAUGGUAUUUUGAACCAUCUUCUACUACAGGAAGAUGAUUAUUAAAGCAGCACUAGACCCUACCUUGGCUGUCAAGAUGCAUGAAUAAAAAUACACUUGUCACCAUAUUUACUUCCUGUUCCCUUUCUUCCCGUUUAAAAUAGUAAUUGAUGCUUUCAUUUUUUAAAACAGAUGUUCUCCAUUUUUCAGCAUGUUGUGGGGUUGCAGAGUAUGCGUGGGGCAGCAGCUGGUGAUAACAUCUUUUAUUUUUUAAUUUUCUGGCUGUGGAUUGGAAUUAGAAUCAGGAUUUAGAAAUGGGGAAGCCGUGGCUUGUGGCCUGCAUCCUGACGUCUUACAUUACAUCUCAGGUAGCAGUUUGUCCUUAUGAAUCAAACCUGCCAUGCUACUGACAAAUAGGAGGUAUUUUUAUAUGAUGUAAGUUAUACCUGCUUGUGGUAAAACAAAACCAAACCAGAAGGUUUCCUUUUCUCCUAAUUUGUCUCUCCAGAGGAAACCACUGUUAACAGUUUGGUUUAUAUCCUUUCAGUCUUUUUUCCUUUUCAGAUAAUAACAGUGGUAAGAACUAACCUUUACUGGGGAAUCUGGACAUGCCAGACACAAUUCUAAGUGCUUUACAUAUAUGAACUCAUUUAGUCCCUGUGCCAGUCCUCUGAGGCAAUAUGACUGUUUUCCCCAUUUGAGAGAUAAGGAAACUGAGAUGUUAAGUAAUUUUCUGGAGCUCACGUAGGUAGUAGGCAGUGAAGCCAGGAUCAAUAUCCAAGUGUUUUGAGUCCUAAAUCUGUGCUCUUAGUUAUGACUUUAUGCUGCUGCCAUGAAUAUGUAUAGUGCAUAUACAUAUUACUACCUAGUUCUUAAAAAGAUGAAAUCAUACUAUAAGUGUUGUUCUGUGGUUUGCUUUUUUGAUAAACAUUAAUACUGGGGACAUUUCCCCAUUUCAGUAUAUAUAAAUUUAAUUCUUUUUAAAAUGUACCUACAAUUAUACUGAUGUAGCAUCAUUUUCAAAAACGAUACUCUUCCUUCUGGCCAUUUGGGUUUGCUCCAGAUUUUUGCUAUUAUAAACAAUAUUACAGUGAACCUCUCAACAAUAGCAGUAGCAACAACUACCAUUAAUCCUGAAUAAUGUGCUUACUGUGGGUGGGGUCCUAUUCUAAACCUUUUCCAUGUAUAAACUCAUUUAAACAUACAUCUUUAUAUAAGUGGGCUAGUGUUUCCAUAGGCUAGAUGCCUGGAAGAGGGACUGGUAGGUUAGAGGCCAAGUGCAUUUAAAAUUUUGAUUGCAAUUUUCCUCCCCAAACAGGCAAGUAUUUAUUAAGUGUCAGCUCUAAGUGCAACACCCUCUUAGGCAUUCUUUGGAAUGCACAGACACAUGAGAUAGGGGCCCUCCCACAGGUUUACAAGAGUGGAGAGACAAGCUGGUACAAGUCGCCAGGUGAUGAAAACAGUCAUUCCACAAGGCAAAGCUGGUGGCAUAUGCUGGGAGCACUACAGGUGUGUAGAGAGCAGGGAGGUCUGUGAGGGGUGGAAGGUAUCAGGGGGAGCUUCAGAGAGGAACUGGGGCUGAAUGAGGCUUGGAAGGAUGGAAAGAUGGAGGGAAGGGGUUGGAGAGCAAUCCUGGGGAAGGGCCAAGAAGAACGAGGCUUAGGCGGGAGGUGGUGUAGUUGAAGAAUGAGACAGUGAGUCUGUGGGAUUGCCAUCCUGACUGAAGCAAAGAGUGUGUUUUGGGAACUGGUCAGCCAGCCGACCAUCAAGAGAAGAGUAGAAUAAGAGUAGAAAUGGACAUCCACCUGUCACAUGACUAAAUUGUUUAACCCAAAUAAAAGCUAAUCAAUUAACAAAUAAAGCUAAUCAAUUAGCUUUAUAAAUGAAGCUAAUCAGUUGCUAAACUGUGCUCUAUUCUUCUGCCUUGACAUAAGAAUCUUUGACCUGGAACAGGUUUGAAUUUAGAAUUUUCCACUCCAUGGACUAUGGCACUGGAGGGUGGUGAAUUACAUUUCCCGAUCAGUGCCAACAGAAAGAGAAUAGGGCUUGUGAUAAUCAGAUAUAUUUGCCCAAAUCACUUGGAUAAGUUUUUCUCCUCUGUCAAUGCUGAAGCACGCUGGUGCUGGAGCAGGAAAUCACAGCCCAGAGAAGGUGAGCAGGUGCCCUGUUCACACAGAGCUUGGAAGUUCUAAUCUCUGACCUGAAGUGAGACAUUGAAAUAGAAAUCUUUCUCUUCCUCCUCCCUCCUUACCCUACCCCCAGCCAACAAAGAAAGAAAUGCAGGUGCAUUUAACUUUGCCUGUAACUUUCUGUUCUGCAAUGAAAAUGGCCUCCUGUGUUUUUGUUUCACAAGCACAAUUAAAAGUCUAAUUUCAAAGCUACAAUAGGGAAGCAAGGGCGUCAGUAAGAAACCCAGAACUUGAUGCAAAUAAUUGAGCCAUUUUUAAUUUGUUCAGUGUGAUCAGGUAGGGGGAAAUUCUAUAUUUAAAUAUAACCAACCACCUUGAACCUUGUAUGGAAGUAACUGUGUAAGAAAUGUUUGGUAACAUGUUGCUGAAGUUGUAAAAUGUGUACCUCCCAAAACAAGGAUAUUCAAAAGUUAAGUUUCUCACGGUGAUGUUAACACAUCCGCAUCGCGUUGCACAUGCUGUACAAUUCUGCAUCAUAAAAAAUGGAUUUACAAGCUUAAGUACUACUCGGGAAUAUUACAUGUGUGGAAUGUGGCUGGGUUAAUGUCACUGUGAGACCCUUAGCCGUUGCCAAGGAGGUUUCCUGAGCCUCAGCUGGGGCCAGGCGGGGGCAGACUGGAGAAAGCCGCUGCUGCCUGGGCCUGCAACUUUGCCUAAUGAACAAAAACACCAUUUUGGCCUCAAAGAUCUUGAGCUCCACAAGCCACAAAUCACAACGAGGAAGAAAUCAAACAUUAAGGUUUCUCUCGGAUUAUUAUUGACCAGGACGGUCUGGAAAUUAUAGGAUCUUUCUAAAUGUGGGCAGGGGCUUCCGUGAGGUCCAGCAACACAGUGGCAUUUGCUUUUACUGCUGCUAUUUCUCUGUUUCUGGUUUUACUUACUCUGACCCCUCUCCACACCAGAGCCGGUGUGAGAGCUGCUGUCACCUGGCCUUUCCCAGAGCUGGAGGGAGUCCCUGGGGGACGAGUUGGGUGGCAGGUGAUGCGUGUAGACUAGGAUGUGAGAUUAACUCCAGUCCGAAAGGGCCCUGGGAUAAAUUACACAUGUCCGAACAUAUCCAUAGAGGAGGAGUUGAGUGGAAAUAGGCUUCAGGGGCAGCCAAAGAGGGAAAAACAUGAGGACAUUGUGUGUGUGUGUGUGUGUGUGUGUGUGUUGCUGUAAUGAUGGGAGGGAGGAUGCAAGGCAGGACUUACGGGUCCUAGCCAGCUGUGCUGCACCUGGUCCGUGAGGCAGUGUGGAGUCCACCGAAACGACCCUCAAGCCUGAUGCCAGUUCCAGAAGCCCAGUCGGCAACUCUGCCACCUUACACUCCUCUCCCCGUGGAACUGCCUGGGGGUGCUGGCAUGGGGACAUGAGGGAUGUCUGACAGGAGAAACAAGCAUUUCAAGAGUGUGUGGUUGGCUUCGCUGUCCUUUGGGGGGAGGAACUGGAAUCAGUCAACAGGCAAGCCCGACUCCCAGUUCCAGCCUGAACACUGGUCAGCUGAAGACAACGCUGCCACCUUCAUCUCUUCCCUGCCUGUCCUGCUUACAACAGUUGCAAGAAGUUUAUACCCACAUUAAGCCCCCAGAGGCAGGCUGGCAGCCAGCCUUCGCCACUGGUGCAGAGAACUGAGUCAACCACCCGGUGUUCCUGGCUGCUCCCCCUGAGAAGCUUUCCCACCCUGUUCCCUGAGUCGAGAGUCUUGGCUGGGCACCUGCUGCACUGUGGACGUGCGGACGCGGCCUCCAGAAGGGGGAAGGGAGCCCUGGCUGGCUUCUCUGAGACGUGUUGAGUGGCUUGCCAUUGAAGACUGUUUCCUCACUCAGGCAGCUGCAUGCCCCAAGUGAGUGACUUCCUCUCUCUGGACUCAGUUUCUGAAUCUGUAGACAAAGAGGGUGGACCAGAUGGUCUUGGAGGUGCCUUCCAGGUCACAUCUCUCCUGUUUCUAACAGCAGGUGGAAGCAGGUGAGGAGGGCAGUCGGGCAGAGAGGAAUGGAGAGGAAUUCCCCCACAGAGGCUCUUGGGAACCACACAAUUCCCCAUUCUGGUGCCACCUGCUUCAAGGAUGUGAGUGAGAGCAGUGCUGGCCUUGAAGCCUACAUCGGUGGGUAGUCUAGCCUCCCUAGAUGUGUCCUUAGGUGUCAUGGGAUCCAUAUCUGGAUCAUCAAGGAGACCUCACUUAGGCUUCUCUUGACUUACCAGGAAAGGCUAAGUCUUGCUUCGGGCAGGCAGCUGCCUCUGGGGCCCGGGCCUGUGGCCCCAGGGGAAAGAAUUGUUGCCCCAAGAUGCUCAUGCAAUGUUGUGUGACUGUGGCAAGGCUGUGCCAUUUUAGCUGGGAUCAACACGCUAAUGGGCACAGGUCCAGGGGGAGUGCAGGUGCCUUCCUGGGUGCAAAGUGGCCCUCAUCCCCAUAGCACACAAUGUCUGCACAGCUGAGGCUGGAAGGGACUGGCUGAGGGCCGUGCUGGUGUGGGCAGAUCCCUGGAAGAUCACCUGGGCCAUCUCCUCAUUCUAAAGAUGAGAAGAACGAGGCUUGGAGAGGAUGAGUGUCUUGUUGAGGGUUGCACAGCAAGUUGGGGACACAGCUGCAGGAAAUCCAAGUCUCCUGAUUCCUAGCCCAUGAUAUUUUCUCUCCCACCAAGUUGAAAGGCUGAGGUGAUGGGAGGCCUGGCAUACCACAGAUGGAAACUUGCAUCGUUGCCCCCGGGGCUCAGAUGAUUCUCUAAAAAUGUGUCUGAGGAAGUGAGAGUGCAGGGCCUCUCCUCACACGUUGGAGCUGUAAGUAGGGCACGUGCUUUCAGCUCCAGGCAGGACUGGAGAAGGUUAUGGAAGGGCAGCCAACCAAGAAGCACUUAUUUAAGCAUUUUUAUGUGCCUAGCCCUGAGCUAGGCAUAGUAGGGCAUAAAGGAGCUUUGAAGGACCCUCCCAACACAGCAAUUUCACUGCAGCUGGUGAGCAAAUUUAACUCACAAAUCAAUUACAAAAACAACCUCAUGCAAGCUACUGUUUGUGUAAUAAAAUGUAAGAACAUAUAUUUGUAUUUGCGUAAAGGAAAUCUGGAAGGAUAUAAAAAGAUAAUAAAAGUGUUAACUAAACAGUUACGUGAUGGGGUGGGGGUGAGAUUUUUGUCCUUUGUACCUUUUAAUUACAAAAUUAUUUUGAACUAUGUGAAUGCAUUUUCUUUGCAAAACAUUAAAUACAAACAAUAACAAAAAACCCAGACAACUAAAUGUGAAUUGGGUGGCAAGGGGCCAAAGGGAUUUGGGAAAAGCAGAGUUCAGAAGAUGUCAUAGAGCUGAUCCAGGUUUCUGGAAGGCCAGAACUGGAAGAGACUGUUGGCGUUAUUUUGUCCAACUUCCCAUUCAAUGCUCGUGUGUUUUGUACAACAGCCAAGACAUGGACCUUCGAGAGUCCCUCACUCAAUAAUUCCUAAAUGCUAUGGCAUGACAGUGCUAACCUAGGGGUCACAAUGCACAGAUAGGUCGGUCCCUGUCUCAAUGGCCUUAUGUUCUCCAAGUGUACCCUUGACUGAAGUGCCAAGGAGAUUCUGAUUCCUAGGGAAAAACAAGAAACACAGGAGUUAAAGGGCUUGGAAGGAGGAUAGAAUUAGGGAAAGCAGCAGAGUUUAGUUAGGAUUUGAAAUAAAUCUCAAAGGAGGGGUCAAGUUUUGACAAUCGGAGGACAGGAGUACCAGGUGGUAGGGAUAUGGAUAAAGAUAGAGAUAGAGGCAUGUUCUCAGGAUUAGCAGGGGACUAGGCCAGGUAGGGUGGAAUAGUAGGGUGGGAAUCUGGGUGAGUAUAUGUUGUAGAUUGUAUUGACUGUCAGUUUGAGCUUUUUUUUUUUUUUUUAAUUCAAUAGAACAUGGAGAACCAAUAAAGAUUCCUGAGCAUGUGCUUGAGUCAUUCUUCUUGAAAUUCUCCAGUGAGUGGGAACUCCCUAUUUCAUCCAAGAACUCAUGAGGAUGAGCUUCUUGGAAGCAGUAGGAAUUGAUCUGGGGCUUCAAGGAUCAGAAUGUCGAAGGUACUCUGGGUGGAGGGAAGAACGAGUCUAGUGUUAAUGCGCACUGGGAAAGGAUUUUGAGCAUGAGAGAGCAUAUCCAUGCUGUGCGUUGGGUAGACAGCUCUGGCUGUGCUAUCUAGGAUAGGCUGGAGGAAGGGUUGCUUGAAGCAGCAUGACAAGUUAGGAGUCCCUCACAAUUGUCCUAAGAAGAGAUUCUGAAAGCCUGACUUAGGAGGUAGUAAUGGGAGUGGAAAGGCACACUGGAAAGACUCAUUCCUCUCCUAUCCCUGAGGUCCUCUUUGCUUGGAUUAGAACAAAACAAAACAAGACAAAACAACCAACAAACUUCUGACUCACUUGCCAGUCUCAAGGGAAGAGACUAUCCUUAGCUCAACAGUCCAAGAUCUCUGUUUACUAGAUAUUUUCCUGGGUCAUUUCUUUAUUUCCUGUGCCACUGGCAGGGGGUGGCAGCUGUGGUCACCCUGGCCCUGGUGUUUUUUGGCAUUUUGCUGCAGUUUAGAUUGUGUUGAUGGUAGGAUAAACAUUUCCAUCCUUGGGCAUCUUGUUCCAUGCCAGAGGAAAGGUACUCAACGGUGUUGAAGCCACUGAUACAGCUGGCCUCAACCUUCUCAUCUUGCAUAUGAGAAAAUGGAGGUCCGGAGAGUUAAAGAACAUGUUCAAAUCAUGUGGGGAGAAGUGGGGACACAGGAGCAG